GCUGGGCAUGGUGGCGCAUGCCUGUAAUCCCAGUUACUCGGGAGGCUGAGGCAGGAGAAUCGCUUGAACCCGGGAGGUGGAGGUUGCAGUGAGCCAGGAUCGCGCCACAGCACUCCAGCCUGGGUAACAGAGUGAGACUCCAUCUCCA
ensembl:misc_RNA Metazoa_SRP Metazoan signal recognition particle RNA